AUACGUAGGUGGCAAGCGUUGUCCGGAAUUACUGGGUGUAAAGGGCGUGUAGGCGGGAGUGUAAGUCAGAUGUGAAAACCCGGGGCUCAACUUCGGGAUUGCAUCUGAAACUAUGCUUCUUGAGUGCUGGAGAGGAAAGCGGAAUUCCUAGUGUAGCGGUGAAAUGCGUAGAUAUUAGGAGGAACACCAGUGGCGAAGGCGGCUUUCUGGACAGUAACUGACGCUGAGGCGCGAAAGCGUGGGGAGCGAACAGGAUUAGAUACCCUGGUAGUCCACGCCGUAAACGAUGGAUACUAGGUGUAGGAGGUAUCGACCCCUUCUGUGCCGGAGUUAACACAAUAAGUAUCCCACCUGGGGAGUACGGCCGCAAGGUUGAA
rnacentral:rRNA from 1 species